AAAAUAAACGAGCGCCUAGCAAUUGUAUAAUUUCAGAAGAAACCUGUUCAUGUGCGUUGUUUUCCUGUCUGCCCCUUGCAGGUGGUACCGCCACUUGUUCUCCGUUGUUUCAUAAGUUUGCAGUAUUCCUGGUGCUUUUGUCAUAGCAGCGCCAGGGUAUUACUACAUAAUGGCAGUGACACAAAUUUGGUUCGCACAAUUCAUUUUUAUAAGGUAAGUGCAUGACGCAAUUACGUGGCCCAUUUCAAAAACGAGUUUGGCAUAAUUGUAAUCAUAACUAUGUGGCACAAUCAACGUUUCGAAUUAUGUGUCAUGUGUGAUUCCUAUCCCCCAUACUAUCCUAUUUUGCAUCAUACGGCCCUAUAUGUGUACUAUUGCUGUCACAUAUGAAGACGUAUGGAACCCAUAUUGCUGCCACAUCACUUCAUACGACGCCCACAUAAGUAUCAUAUUGACUCCAUAUGGCUCCGUACGGUACCCAUAAGAAUGCCAUAUUGCCUACAUAUGACUUCAUACGCGGCCCAUAUGUAUUAAUAUAGGACCCAUACGAAUCUGUACGGGAACCAUACAAACUGAUAUAGGAACCAUAUGUGUUUUAUACGGGAUUUUUCAAUAGGGCGGUGAUGUGUGUAAUUCAUUUUUAGAGCGAAAACACGCUUUCUGAUGCAACAGAAUAAUCACUCCACAUUCAAAAAGUGCAUCGGCAAUGAGAAUUUCAAUGUGACUUUAAUGCGAAAAUCCUUGCUGCUGUACAUUUGGCCAAUGGUAAACUAGGCUGGCCUCCAAUAGGUGCGACCGAGCGCUGUUCCACUUCGUUCCCAUUGAUACAAUGAUUUCUCUUUGAAACCCACUAAAUCCUUGUUGUUUUCAAUAUGGUAUUUGUCCAAAAUUGUCGAUUCGGAGAAUUGUGAAUUUCAAUGAGAACUGUAAAUGUGAUAUCCACUUAAACCGAAUGAGAUUCCUGGUCUAUUUUGAAUUGGACUAUUUCCAGCAGGUAGGUUCACUAAACAGCGAUAUUGUUGCUUGCUCCUGUGCAGACGCAUUCUGCGUAAUGUAUUGUUCUUUAACCUUCUACAUUAGUACAACGUCGCGCACAAUGAUACCAACUAGCAGAACGAAAGUAGUGACCUACAGAUCGAUCUGUUAAAUAACCUCUGUUGGGAACAAAUGGAGAAUAUCUACAUUUGUUGUCGCUCGCUUCAUCUCACUGGUACAAAAGAUAGCUGCUUGUUCGUCGACUUUGUACAAGACACUGGCUGAGGGACACAAGCGUUCACGUUUGAGACCACUGAGUGAACGCCGUGAGCCCGCCACGAAUUGCCCGAGUGGAUAUGCCUUCCGCUUUUGAUUUUGACACCCCUGACGAUGGCCCAGAUGGGCUGCGUCUUGCAGGCGUUAGGGAAAAGGGUGCGCAGAGAAAAAGGUUGAUACUGUGCGAAAAAUACAGUGCAUGUUGAUAUCUUCUUUUUAGCCUUUAUUGCGCUCUGUGCAGCAGGGCAAGGACCGAUUUCAUGCUGAAAAUUUGAUGCAUCAAUUAAAUUUUCCGCAUUUCGAUUACAUAUGUGCUAAGAAGGUUUGUUGGAAUUUAGUUCUUAUUAGUUUACUGCACUGGCCCUUUCUACUGCUCUGGCGCGCGAAUUAAUAACACUAUUUCUAAUGGAUAUUUCCAUAUUUCCUCUCCGUGUAGUUGCCUAUGACGACUAACAUCGCGCGCCCCCUGUACGCGUAGUAGGCCUGAUUCUAAAUCUGUUCCUGUACAUGACGGCGCCAUUAUUAUUUCUGUCGUUCGCUGCGGUUCGAUUCGUUGGCAAUUAUGUUAUGUUCUUGGUUAUUCAUUGUGAGAAGGAAUCGGGAAAACAUGCCGUCGAGCACGACUCCAUCGUGAACUUCCACGCAACAGAUGACUUCGACAAACAGAAGUUAUACGAGGCUUUUUGGAAUGCGACGCGAUGCGACACAUCUUACACGGCAGAGACAAGGCAGGAUGAAUUAGUGUCGCCGAAGCUGACGUAACACGGGGUCGCAAACCACGUGCAGAAAAAAAAAAAAGGAACCGCUUGAAGGUGUUGGCGAGAAACCCGGGGCCUCGGUCGGAGAGAACUCGUGUCAGAGAGAGACUCGUGUGCUAGUGACUGAUUAGAAGUGAACCGCUAUCACGGCUGUCGCAAGGUGUACACCAGUAUGCGCUGAUCGAAACAUGUUGUCUCUUAGGUUUUUAGGCAAGGCAGGACAAACAAGCACUGCGCAAGGCAUGCAGAAGACGACAUUGCUUCUGCCGCUCGAUUCCCUGAAAAUCAGUGCACGGAGAACACAAGAGUUUGAAAGCAACAAAAACACGUGAAACUUUUACAGACAGAAGUGGCGACGCUGGCGAAACUUAAUCGUAUGCUGCAAAACGCCAUCGUUUCGAAAGUUUUCCAAACUGGUGCCCUGGUCAGUGCUACGUUCAGCCUCCUGCCACCACUGCUAAGAAAGAAGACAGAUGGACUCAUCAAGAAAUCUGAUUGAUCCACGUUGCAUAUAAUUACAAAAGCAACGCUGCAUCGCCC